GUCUGUGUGAAGUUAUAUAAAGUCUAACCUGCCCAUUGAAUUUUUAAAGGCCGCGGUAUCCUAACUGUGCAAAGGUAGCAUAAUAAUUAGCUUUUUAAUUGGAAGCUUGUAUGAAAGGUUGGACAAAGAAGUAUCUGUCUUUGAUAUUUAUUUUGAAUUUUACAUUUAAGUGAGAAGGCUUAAAUUAAUUUAAGGGACGAUAAGACCCUAUAAAUCUUUACAUUUAUUUAUUUUUUAUUAAUUUAGAUUAUUAAUUAAUUAAAAUAUAAAUAUAUGUUUUAUUGGGGUGAUAAAGAUAUAAGUAAAAUAACUGUUUUUAAAAAUAAACAAAUAUAAUUGAUUAGUCAUAAAGAUCCUUUUUAAAGAUUAAAAGUUUAAGUUACUUUAGGGAUAACAGCGUAAUUUUUUUUGAGAGUUCUUAUCGAAAAAAAAGUUUGCGACCUCGAUGUUGAAUUAAAAAUUCUUUAUAGUGCAGAAGUUAUAAUGGAAAGUCUGUUCGACUUUUAAAUUUUU
rnacentral:rRNA from 1 species